UGUAAUCUCUAAAAGGUCUUAUAUUUAGGAACGGAGGGAGUACAAAUUAUCAAAACAAUGAGCGAAAUUGCCCCUCUUUUCUAAGGUGCGCCCACCUAUGUAGUCCAGAUUUUUGAUCAAAUGCACAAACUUAAACAAAUGAGAAGAUCAGUUUAACACAAAUAAUAUGCAUACAGUGAAAUUUAGACAUCCAUGAUGCUUAGAAAGACAAACCUAAUUUCAAAACUUUUAGAAUAGGUGUCGACUACCCCGAAAAACCUCCUCUGAAUUGGUUCAGUGAUGGUCAACCAGCCAACCAUGUUUAAUCAACUUUUGUAGUCAAAGUAAAAUGAUCCGCUGUGUAUGAAGGAUGUAUUACAUAACAAUUAGAUACUGUAUCUGCCAUCUGCUAAUUAACAUAACCUUUGUUGGGUAUGAUAACUAGACGAUUACCUUCUUGGCCCUUAAAUUUAAUUGAAAAACUACUGUUCUGUAUGAACUGCUCUUGUCUUCUUUAUUUCUAAUUGCUUUGUGUGGAAAUAUCUCUACCAGUCUACAUUUUUCUUGAAGGACAUGCACUCCUGAUUAUUUAUGACAAGAAACUGAGAAGUUCGGUAACUCCAGUCGUGUAAAUCCUUGAGAAGAAAAAGCGAGUGUACUGCUUAAGUAAAUUGGCUCUCUUGAAAAAUACACACAACGCACAGAAAAUACUAAGUGCAAAGUAAUUCUAAAAUUACUAAGAAUAAAAGGGAAUAACUGAAAUGUCACUAAUGCUACCAAAUCUCAUCAAGGCCGUGAAAAUAAGUAAUUUUCAAGUGGCCAUGUACACCACCAGCACACAAAGUGAUGCUGAUACUUCUACGUCCCAAAUGCCAUUAAAAUAAUUUUUCUUUGUUUUUUUCUCAUACUUCUGCCUUCUGUCUAAAGGUGAUCUACAGGGGGCGUCUUGUGAGCCAUUUGCAAAUCAUAAUACUGCCAUUGUUAAUUUGUUAUACCAACCAUUGUUUAUAAAGGCGGUAAGGCAACCUGGCGAGCACCAACCGCCUUGACGCCUAAGCGAUGCCUAAGCGCCUAAAGCGGCGGCGCCUUGCCGCUUAAGCGUUCAAGGCAGGACGCCUUAUAAAUAAUGAUACUAACAAUGGAAGCAACUUGCAUGGACAUAUUCUAUGGGGCCACAUAAGAUGUCAUCAAACAGAGGAGGAUGUUUCAUUUCGAGGUUGAUUAUUUAAAACUAUCCUUACUCAUCAAACAUAGUAGGAACUUGGAGUUUCAUGAGGUAAAUUGAGAUUGGAUCUGAAGAUCUGUUGACGAAAAGUGGAUUAUGGAAUGAAAUGCAUAACGACUUUCUGAUCAGUUGAAAUUGUUAUAGAAGAGUAUCACAUUUGGACCUUUGAUCACUAUUCACUAGCAGCUGUUCAGUUCUUCUUGAACCUCCUCUUUAGGGUUUGCUACUAUGCAACGUUAUUUUGCACACACAAAAAAAAGAUUUUGAAGCACUAUACCAAAUAGCAUUGAGUGGUAUUUUUUUCCUUUGAUUGCUGUAGUCAUGUUUCAAUAUAUGGCUGGCUUCUGUUGUAGCAUUUAGCGCACUGCAUGCUGUCGCUCUCUGAUGUUUUUAUGUUGCUGUUUUGAUCAGCGUAAUUUUCUCAUAGUGUUAGCAAUUGGCUGGACGUCCACGGUUAACCUAUUCAUCAUCUUAUUCCCUGCAGGUUUGAUAGAUGGUUUGCCUGUUACUCCAAAGUCCUUGGACAUAUUAUCUAAAGAACUCCCUGUCUGUGGAAAGCUUGUUGUAUCUUGUAUCAUUAUCUCAAGCAGGCUCUCAGUUUACAUAAGUAUGGUCAGUUUGACAGCGCAGUAGAAACAUUCGAGAUUGAAGACAACUGGUACAGAUCGAAUCCGAGCUGAGAUGUCAUCAUCUGAACUGGAUGGGCGCAGUCUCGCCAGAGCAUCUUGGAACGCAGAAGAAGACCGGUCUGAAGCUUAACAAGAACUGUACUUGAUCAGCAUUCAGCAGCAUGAUUAUUAGUUGCAGAAUCUGGCGCGGAGCCGUCCUGAGCAGAGUCUUGUUGCAGGAACUUUACCUGCAAGAAAGAAAUUUGAAGGAUGCAUGCACUACUGAAAGAAGUUGGCAUCUGCACGCCGAGGCAAGAAUUUGACUGGACAUUCAGAUCGGUAACAAUUGUAGCAUUAGCAAUAGAGAGAUGUGGUACACCUAAGGCUCCGCUUGGAAUAGGUGUAAACUUAUACAUCUGGAUUUAAUUACAAGUGUAUAAUACCGAUCGUAGUACGAUUUUCAUCCGGAAUAAAAACAACCGUCCGAGGUCUGUA